rnacentral:lncRNA from 1 species
AAAAGGGUAUAGAUUAUAGGUACCAGCAGUGCUCCAAGAGUGUUUCAGCACCUGCAAAUGAAUAAUGAACCAAAUUGACUAGUGAUAUUUCUAGAAACCUGAUAUUUAAACAAGUUUGUAUGUCAGAUCCCUUCAAAUUACGUGAUAUUUAAACAAGUUUGUAUGUCAAAUUACCUGAUAUUAUGGAAAAGAACAAAUUCAGGUUCCUGGAGUAAGGGUAGUACAAAGAUCGCGGAGGCUUUUUUUCUUUAAUUUUUGGAAUAGGAAGAUCAUUUCUCUUUCAUAAC